GGUGACUUGCCCGAGUGGUCCAAGGGGUCAGGUUUAGGCCCUGAUAUGUUCGCAUGCGUGGGUUCGAACCCCACAGUCAUCA
rnacentral:tRNA from 1 species